rnacentral:tRNA from 1 species
GUCCAGGGUAGCCUAGUGGACAUGGCAUCUGCCCGGUAAGCGGAACACUGUGGGUUCGAUUCCCAUCCCUUAACA